GCCUUUAUGGUGUAGUGGCCAGCACGCUCGACGCGUAACCGAGAGGUCCGUGGUUCGAUUCCCGGCGAGAGCG
rnacentral:tRNA from 1 species